CGCUCGUCUCCUCUGCGGCUCCCGCCGGGCCCUUGGUGCCCGGCCGGCCCCGGCGCGGCAGGGCAUGGUGGCGCCCGGGCUGGGGCCGUGGCUCCUGGCCUUGUCCUUGGCCGCGGGGCCGGCAGGGCUGUGGGCGCAGCUGAGGCUGGUGGAGACCGGCGGAGGGCUGCGAGCACCCGGGGACUCCGUGCACCUCUCCUGCCGCGGAUCCGGCUUCACCUUCGGGAAUUAUGUCGUUCUGUGGUACCGUCAGGCACCGGGCAGCAGUCUCGAGUGGGUGUCCCUCAUCAGUGCAUGGAGCAAUACAAAUUAUGGCCCAGCAGUGGAGGGCCGAGCCACAGCCUCCCGGGACAAUUCCCGUUCCGAGUCAUCUCUGUCGCUGCGGGACCUGCGCCCUCAGGACUCUGCCCGCUACUUCUGUGCCGUUCUCACGGAGACAGGAAAUCCAGCAGAGCUUUAACACAAACCUCGCACCAGGGUCCUGGCUCUGGGUCUUGGAGCUGGCAGGGAGGCGAGUCCCCCAGAUGUUCAGGGUUGUUCUCAGAGAGCCAUGUAGUUAACAGCAUAGAGUUUUCAAAUGGUUGAUUCUGACUGG